AUACGAAGGGGGCUAGCGUUGUUCGGAAUCACUGGGCGUAAAGCGCGCGUAGGUGGAUCAAUUAGUUGAGGGUGAAAUCCCGGGGCUCAACCUCGGAACUGCCUUCAAUACUGUUGAUCUUGAGACCGAGAGAGGUGAGUGGAAUUCCUAGUGUAGAGGUGAAAUUCGUAGAUAUUAGGAAGAACACCAGUGGCGAAGGCGGCUCACUGGCUCGGUACUGACGCUGAGGUGCGAAAGCGUGGGGAGCAAACAGGAGUAGAUACCCUUGUAGUCC
rnacentral:rRNA from 1 species